rnacentral:lncRNA from 1 species
CAUUCAAGAAAAAUCUUUUUGACAUAGAAAUAAUCCGAAAUACGUUACAAAUUAUCCCAAAAUCGGGGUGUCACAGAGUACAUGAGCAUCUAUUCCAGAAUACAGCCUUCUACAAUAUCUAAGAAAUAAGAAGCGAAAUACAGAAAGAGAUAAUGAAGGAGAGUCAAAGCCUGCGAAUGCCACGCAGCUACCUCGAUAGUCUCCAAAAUCUGACUCCUCAAUCAGCAGCUGUCGUGACCAGAAGCACCUGAAUCUGUACACGAGGUGUAGGGUGUAACGUGAGUACAAUCAACUCAGUAAGUAAAAUCCAACCUUUGGACUGUAAGGUAGUAACGAACUCAACCGGCAAAGUUCAAAAUAGAAAUAACAGUGCAGAAAAAUAGUGAAAAGUAUUCUAUGGACGGGUUUGACAGCUUUCUAGUAGUGAGAAGUAUCAAGAGAAAAAAGAAUGAGACAACGGAAUACACUAUCAAAGAGGAAUGGUACAAACGAAAAUGAAGACUCGUGUUACAACAUCCCUAAAUGAUAAUUAGCUUAGGAAAUCACCCUAAUAAAAAUAGUUUAACAAAAAUACAAAAAUACUUUAACAAAAAUACUACACAAUAUAUAGUUUAAUGAGUUUAACUUAUUUAUAUCAACAGUAUAAAGAAUCUAACAAAUAGUUUACAAAUUCUUGACAUUAUUGAUGUAUAUAAGUUAAACCCUUGAAUACAUUUGAAUCAAAUUAAAUACUUUUGUUAGUUAUAUCAACCGGACUACUCAUAAUUAGAAUCAGAGGGGUUAAUCUUUUUCUUGUCGUUCUUGAAAGAGGACACCACAGCUUUUACGACCUUUUCAGCAGCCAUGGCUUUCACUGAUUUCUUGUCUUUCUUUGGAAACACACUUCCUUUUUUUGAAGUGCCUUCACGGUAUCCUUUUCCAUUUCCAUUUUUCUCCAUCUCUCUUUCUAGCUCUUAGAGUUUAUGUAUGUAUACGAGGAAGUGUAAUUUAUUGCUUAACUGGU